GAGUUUGAUCCUGGCUCAGAGUGAACGCUGGCGGCAGGCCUAACACAUGCAAGUCGAACGGCAGCACAGCCGGGGCAACCCGGUGGGUGGCGAGUGGCGGACGGGUGAGGAAUACAUGGGAAUCUACCCUGUCGUGGGGGAUAACGUAGGGAAACUUACGCUAAUACCGCAUACGACCGAGAGGUGAAAGCGGCGGACCGCAAGGCGUCGCGCGAUUGGAUGAGCCCAUGUCGGAUUAGCUAGUUGGCGGGGUAAAGGCCCACCAAGGCGACGAUCCGUAGCUGGUCUGAGAGGAUGAUCAGCCACACUGGAACUGAGACACGGUCCAGACUCCUACGGGAGGCAGCAGUGGGGAAUAUUGGACAAUGGGCGCAAGCCUGAUCCAGCCAUGCCGCGUGAGUGAAGAAGGCC
rnacentral:rRNA from 1 species